AGCCCUGAAACUGCUGACAGCAAAGAUGACAAAGAGAUCUGUGCAACAUGUGAAGCAAGCAAAUGCCUUGUAUGUUUACAUAUUAUGCCCUACAAGACUACUCCAAACAGGGUCCAGUGUGCCUAACUGAAACAUCAUUCACAUAUGUGCCUUUGAAGUCAUCGAGUAUGCAGCUCACGUCUGUCCACCAUAGGAACCUGAAUAAGCAGGCUGUUUCACAGGAAGCUUUCAGAAGCUCCUUUCUUCCUCCAUUUUUGAAAAGGACUUCGGGAAUGUAUCAGGCAUCUCAUAAGGUUGAAUAGUCCACAAAACCCAUCUUCCUGGACACAAAUGUUUGUGACUAUAGACAAUGGAAUUUAUGGAUAUGGAAGUUUAAGUGCUUUGCUAAAAGAAGACUGUAAGAAGUCCAGGAAACCUUUGAAGGAUGGAUGAACUGAAUGUGAGAGCAGGAGGAAGGCAAUAGCCAUCUUUGGACAAAAAUUACAGAGGACAGCUGUCCCUUCUGCCACUGUGAAGCGGCUCUGGGGUGUAAACGGAUCUGCUGACUGUGGAUGGAGGGUUGCUGUUUCAGGAGCAACUGCAAAUUCAGACACAUGAGAAUUGAUAUGGAUGCAAGGUGGCUGUGAGGCCUAUUGAUUCGAAAACCACCUUCCCCACAAAGCAGAGACGGAAAAGAAAAGCAGCAGAGAUUCAUCCAUCUGCUGCUAAGGACACAGAUGAGCCCCCAGCUAGAAAACUACCUAUGGCGAUUCUUGCUUCAGUCCCACCUGAAUACACCUUGGUCAGCACUGAAGUCAUAAAACUUCCAAGCAGUCUGGAACUGCUUCCAGGAACACAGACAUACUCUGUGGCACAGUCAGAGGUCUCAAACUCAACAGCUCAUUCCUCACAAGAAGCAGAUAAGACGCAGCAGCUGAGCUGCACAGAGGCUGGGAAAGCACUCGUCUCUGAAGAUGAUGACCUUCAGAAGUUAUUGAUGGAAAUCACAGGAGAACUGGAAGGAGAAAAUGAUGUGGACGCUGAAAAGGGUGUGGAUGAGCUCCUUCUGGAACUGUCUGAGAUCACUGACAGCGUGAUACCACAGUCUGAUUGUAAUUUUUAAGACAAACAACAGCAACAACCAAUUAAAACCAACCCUGUUCCUUUUCAACCCUGUUCCUUUCCUUAUUCUGAGGGGACACUUUUUCUGAAACUUUGCAAUGAGUCUUAAAGCAGAGUCAAACUGGUAAAAAUCAUUGGUGAAUGGAUUCUGUUCUCCCUGUUCUCCCAAUUUCCCUGCUGGUCAGAGUUCAGGGGCUGUGUGAGCUGCCAUUCCCCAACAACAUCAAGAGAAGCCGGGGCAAAGUCCUCUCACUCAAGUCAGCCUCAGUUAUCAUCUUUCAAACACCAUGAUAAAACAUUCAGGAACAACAAGAACAACAAGAAUAACAAAAAAAUCAUCAGUAUUUCAUGAGAGGAUUAAAUAGACAAAAUAUUUAACUUAAAUUUAAGAUGUAAAUAAUGAGGAUAUUUAGCAGUAGCCUCAGUAGUAUGUCCGAUGGAAAGCCAGGUGGCUUAAUUACAAUGAUCUACCCAAUUGUCCCCAAUCUGAGCUGCUUUUGCCUUAUUUUCCAUCUUCUUUACCUCUGCAGGCCUAUUUAGCAAUCCUGGCAUUGGUUUUAUACCUGCCAGUUGAACCUUUGAAGUGAUCUUUAUUUCAUAUUCAUAACUGAGGCUCAAUUUCCAAUUUCCUUGUUCCAAAACAUGGACAUGCUUGUCACUGUGAUGGAAACAUUUCUCGAAAUGCCUAGCUUUAUAUCCAGUACUAGUUCAGUCUCUAAAAAAAAAAGAAAAAUCAACCUUUUCUUUAAGGUUUUGAAAAUGAGAGUUGAUCUGUCAUUAGGCUGUGUGGAUUCAGCAUGCAGUUCAAGGCAUUUUGUCACCUUCACUCACAGAAGCCCUAUCUUCUAGUUUCUAGAUUCAGUGUAACUCUUCUCUGUUACACUGGGUUUCAGUCAGGUUGCAUUAUUCUCAGAAGUACAUUCAGUCAGAUCAUCCAUAUCUCUUUUUAUUCAUCCUCUGAAGCUUCUACAAGAUAUAGAGUUAAAAAAAAUACAUAUAUUUUAUUAUUAAAUACAUAUGAAUAGGGGCAGACUGGGAAUUAGGAAAAAUCUCUUUACCAUGAGGGUGGUGAAAUACUGGAACAGGCUUCCUAAAAUGUGGUUGAUGUCCUGUGGUUCUCAGUGUUCAAGAACAAUUUGGUUAAUACCUUCAAGAGUACUUUUAAUUUAAAUUUUUAAUUUAAAUAAUAGUAUUUAAAAUAUUUUUAUUAACUUUUUGUUAUCCCUGAAGAGAUGAGACAGUUGGACUAGAUAAUUUUUGUAAGUCCCUUCCAAACUGACUGCACUGCCCAGCUUGAAAUCAUUGACUUGAAAUUCAGUUGUUGGCCAGUAACACAUGGAAUAUCCUGGCUGUUAAAACUAAAAUCAUUAUUGUUUAAUAUCUUUGUCAGUAAACUAGAUGAUGACAUAGAAUACCUUCUUAGCAAAUUUGCAGAACACUACUAAAUUGAGUGGACCAAUAUUGGAUUAAAGUUUGAGAUGAAAGCAUGACUUACAUCAAGAUAAAAUGUCUUCAAGUUCAAAUGCAGGAAGAAAUUGGAUGUGAAAUUAUAGUUCUCAUUUCAUGCAUUCAAAUAAAUCUUUCAAGUCUAUAGAUUGUGGAAAUAAAAAACAUGUUGAAGUAAAAAGGAAGAAGUUGUCUAAGCAAGUGAGGACCAGUAUAAAGUAAGCUUUAUAUAUGUAUAUAUACGUAUAGCAGUUUGGGUAGAAUUCUAUGGAGGCAGAUAUUUCCCAACCUUAUGUUUUCUUUGUCAAGAUAAUUUAUUUUAACAGUGAAGAAAUUUCAUCAGUUUUUCCUGUCUGGACUUCAAAAUAGAUGUUUUAUCACUACAAGAGAAUUUAAACUGAAGGUGUUGAGGAAGAUAAGGUUUAUUAAAAGAACUGAAACUAGGCAAAGAGCUAGCCAAAGCAAUCCACUAGGCAACAGUGGAUUGAGUAAAAGUUUGAAAUAUCAUGCUUGAAAGUUUAUUUAAUCGUGAAUAACUGAUCUUACAAAUGAUUUUGCAUAGUAUUUUCAUUGAUGAUGCAUGCAGAAAAAAAGGUCAUUUUCUAAUGAACAAUGGGUGUCACUAAAAACUAAAAACUAUUGCUGGUACACUAGAAGACUGAUAAUACCAUACUGUAAAAAUAUCAUACUAAUUAUUAAUGCUGUAUAUAAUCCUGUUGCCCCAAGUUUAGGAAAUAUUGAUUCAAGUAGGGUUUUAUAGAGAGAGCAGUACUGAAAUCAAACUGAUGGAAGAAAUUUUCACAGUAGAUAUGGUAAAAUGAACUUCCUGCUUCUUUCUUAUGAAUAGAUCAAGACUGGUAGUGGUGGGGAAAAAAAAAAAGAAAGAAAGAGAUUUUGUUAAAGUAAAGACCAAGAUGAACUAUAAACAGCUAUAACCUGACAAAGCCCAGAUUAAAUUCCAGGUAUUCAGAGGAAAGAUUACAGCCAUAGAAAGAAUGAGAAUCAUCCAAGGAACUUUCAAAAAAGAAAUGUAUGAAUUUCAAUGAGAAUUGUUUUCAUAUUUUUAAUUUACUUUCCACCAAAUCUCAAAGCAAAAUGUAAGGUAUUUGUCUGCCUACAGACACCCAAACUGGAGAGAUUAACUGCUAAAGCAAAUUUCUACCAUCUGCUCUAACAAUAUACAAGUGCAAGGGAGUAGGAAAAUGGAUAGGGUGUCCUUUCUGCUCUAAGUGAAGCAAAUAUCCUAUUUUUGGUGUGAGAUUAUAUUUACAGCAAAUUCAGACAAUCUGGAUGUUGAGCUCUGGGCAGAGAACUGUCUGGGGAUUCAGUUUAUUGGUAAAAGUAAGGAGGAAUUUAAGAAGAUUUCUGUAGCAGUUGAGACCCCCCAAAUACUGGGGAUUUGUCAAUUGUAUAUGUUUGUUUUUGAUAGAAGAGGCUCAUUUUUCAAAUUAUUGUUUGAACUAAAUAUCCUGAACUUAUCUGAGGAUAAAAAAUUGUCAGAUGUAGGAAAAUAGAAGAAAUUUUACUUAUUAGGAAAAUACCAGUAGGGAGAGAACUGGAUUACUUCAGCAGCAAUUACAAAUAUGUAUAUUCCUUGUUCUAUUUAAUUCACCCCAGAGACUAAGUUUACUGCUUCUGAGGUAAAUUCUCUGACUUGUAAAAUAGUCUGUUGACUGUUGUAAGAUUAUGGACCUCUGAAUAUCUUUCAGGGAUAUAUUUCAUUUUGUAUAAAUAAUUCAAAAAUCCAGAAAACCAGAGGUUUGGACUGAAAUUCCCAAAUCCAAAACGUGGUAUGAAUUCAAUCUUCAAGGUCUUGCUCUAAUAUUUUUUCAUAUUUGUCAGAUACUAGGUUUAUCCUGAAAGAGUGCAGGAAAACGUUUAUUUCUCAAAACAUUUAUGUGGUGAAAAAUGUAUUUUCUGCUCAUUUCUUAAGGAAGAUCCAAUAAACAUCUCAAGCAAUGAAU
ensembl:lncRNA